rnacentral:lncRNA from 1 species
AUCAAAGAAUCUUUAUGGGUUUAUCGAUUUUUUUCUCUAUUUUAUGUUUGAACUUUUUAAACUUUUCAAAAGUCUCAGACUUAUGAUACAUCAAAUACACAAAUCCAUACCGUGAGUAGUCAUCAGUAAAAGUUAUGAAGUAGAUAUAGCCACCCCUAACCUGUACAUCGAAUGGAUCGUACAUGUCAAUAUGCACCAAGGCUAAUAUAUCAGUGGCCCUU